UGUUUCGGCAAGGGGGUCAUCCCGACUUACCAACCCGAUGCAAACUGCGAAUACCGGAGAAUGUUAUCACGGGAGACACACGGCGGGUGCUAACGUCCGUCGUGAAGAGGGAAACAACCCAGACCGCCAGCUAAGGUCCCAAAGUCAUGGUUAAGUGGGAAACGAUGUGGGAAGGCCCAGACAGCCAGGAUGUUGGCUUAGAAGCAGCCAUCAUUUAAAGAAAGCGUAAUAGCUCACUGGUCGAGUCGGCCUGCGCGGAAGAUGUAACGGGGCUAAACCAUGCACCGAAGCUGCGGCAGCGACACUAUGUGUUGUUGGGUAGGGGAGCGUUCUGUAAGCCUGUGAAGGUGUACUGUGAGGUAUGCUGGAGGUAUCAGAAGUGCGAAUGCUGACAUAAGUAACGAUAAAGCGGGUGAAAAGCCCGCUCGCCGGAAGACCAAGGGUUCCUGUCCAACGUUAAUCGGGGCAGGGUGAGUCGACCCCUAAGGCGAGGCCGAAAGGCGUAGUCGAUGGGAAACAGGUUAAUAUUCCUGUACUUGGUGUUACUGCGAAGGGGGGACGGAGAAGGCUAUGUUGGCCGGGCGACGGUUGUCCCGGUUUAAGCGUGUAGGCUGGUUUUCCAGGCAAAUCCGGAAAAUCAAGGCUGAGGCGUGAUGACGAGGCACUACGGUGCUGAAGCAACAAAUGCCCUGCUUCCAGGAAAAGCCUCUAAGCAUCAGGUAACAUCAAAUCGUACCCCAAACCGACACAGGUGGUCAGGUAGAGAAUACCAAGGCGCUUGAGAGAACUCGGGUGAAGGAACUAGGCAAAAUGGUGCCGUAACUUCGGGAGAAGGCACGCUGAUAUGUAGGUGAAGUCCCUCGCGGAUGGAGCUGAAAUCAGUCGAAGAUACCAGCUGGCUGCAACUGUUUAUUAAAAACACAGCACUGUGCAAACACGAAAGUGGACGUAUACGGUGUGACGCCUGCCCGGUGCCGGAAGGUUAAUUGAUGGGGUCAGCGCAAGCGAAGCUCUUGAUCGAAGCCCCGGUAAACGGCGGCCGUAACUAUAACGGUCCUAAGGUAGCGAAAUUCCUUGUCGGGUAAGUUCCGACCUGCACGAAUGGCGUAAUGAUGGCCAGGCUGUCUCCACCCGAGACUCAGUGAAAUUGAACUCGCUGUGAAGAUGCAGUGUACCCGCGGCAAGACGGAAAGACCCCGUGAACCUUUACUAUAGCUUGACACUGAACAUUGAGCCUUGAUGUGUAGGAUAGGUGGGAGGCUUGGAAGUGUGGACGCCAGUCUGCAUGGAGCCGACCUUGAAAUACCACCCUUUAAUGUUUGAUGUUCUAACGUUGACCCGUAAUCCGGGUUGCGGACAGUGUCUGGUGGGUAGUUUGACUGGGGCGGUCUCCUCCUAAAGAGUAACGGAGGAGCACGAAGGUUGGCUAAUCCUGGUCGGACAUCAGGAGGUUAGUGCAAUGGCAUAAGCCAGCUUGACUGCGAGCGUGACGGCGCGAGCAGGUGCGAAAGCAGGUCAUAGUGAUCCGGUGGUUCUGAAUGGAAGGGCCAUCGCUCAACGGAUAAAAGGUACUCCGGGGAUAACAGGCUGAUACCGCCCAAGAGUUCAUAUCGACGGCGGUGUUUGGCACCUCGAUGUCGGCUCAUCACAUCCUGGGGCUGAAGUAGGUCCCAAGGGUAUGGCUGUUCGCCAUUUAAAGUGGUACGCGAGCUGGGUUUAGAACGUCGUGAGACAGUUCGGUCCCUAUCUGCCGUGGGCGCUGGAGAACUGAGGGGGGCUGCUCCUAGUACGAGAGGACCGGAGUGGACGCAUCACUGGUGUUCGGGUUGUCAUGCCAAUGGCACUGCCCGGUAGCUAAAUGCGGAAGAGAUAAGUGCUGAAAGCAUCUAAGCACGAAACUUGCCCCGAGAUGAGUUCUCCCUGACUCCUUGAGAGUCCUGAAGGAACGUUGAAGACGACGACGUUGAUAGGCCGGGUGUGUAAGCGCAGCGAUGCGU
rnacentral:rRNA from 1 species